rnacentral:piRNA from 1 species
UGAUGGGCAGGGCCCUCGAGGUUAAUGAGA